rnacentral:rRNA from 1 species
GAUGAACGCUAGCGGCAGGCCUAAUACAUGCAAGUCGAGGGGUAAGGCUCUUUCGGGAGUACACGACCGGCGUACGGGUGCGUAACACGUAUACAACUUGCCCAUAACUGGAGAAUAGCCUGAAGAAAUUUAGAUUAAUGCUCCAUAGUAUCAUAAGCUGGCAUCAGUUAAUGAUUAAAGAAAUUCGGUUAUGGAUGGGUAUGCGUCCCAUUAGCUAGUUGGUAGUGUAAUGGACUACCAAGGCGACGAUGGGUAGGGGUUCUGAGAGGAUGAUCCCCCACACUGGUACUGAGAUACGGACCAGACUCCUACGGGAGGCAGCAGUAAGGAAUAUUGGUCAAUGGAGGCAACUCUGAACCAGCCAUGCCGCGUGCAGGAAGACGGCCCUCAGGGUUGUAAACUGCUUUUAUACAGGAAGAAAAAGCCAUGCGUGGUUCUAUGACGGUACUGUAAGAAUAAGCACCGGCUAACUCCG